AUUGAACGCUGGCGGAAUGCUUUACACAUGCAAGUCGAACGGUAGAGGGGGCAACCCCUUGAGAGUGGCGAACGGGUGAGUAAUACAUCGGAACAUGCCCAGUCGUGGGGGAUAACGUAGCGAAAGCUACGCUAAUACCGCAUACGAUCUAUGGAUGAAAGCGGGGGACCGAAAGGCCUCGCGCGAUUGGAGUGGCCGAUGGCAGAUUAGGUAGUUGGUGGGGUAAAGGCCUACCAAGCCUGCGAUCUGUAGCUGGUCUGAGAGGACGACCAGCCACGCUGGGACUGAGACACGGCCCAGACUCCUAAGGGGGGCAGCAGUGGGGAAUUUUGGACAAUGGGCGCAAGCCUGAUCCAGCCAUUCCGCGUGCAGGAUGAAGGCCCUCGGGUUGUAAACUGCUUUUGUACGGAACGAAAAGGUGGCCUCUAAUACAGGUUGCUGAUGACGGUACCGUAAGAAUAAGCACCGGCUAACUACGUGCCAGCCGCCGCCGUAA
rnacentral:rRNA from 1 species